GCGGCUGACUCUCCAAAUCAGAUUCAGCCGAAUCAAUUCUGGACAGUGAUUUGAAUCACCAAAUCGAAUCACUGUCCCUCAAAUCAGCUGAAUCCGAAGCAAAAUAGUAGCUGCUUCACACAGGCCUACUGUUGGGGCCAGACAGAAUUGAUUUUUCAUUACCUUGAAUUCAUUAUUUAGUUUCUUUGGGGGUUUUCCCCCUUGAGCUUCCUCCGAAGCCUUGAACAUCUUUGUAGCUAGAUGUGGGAAAUUGGCCUGGGUGUACUGGUACUCCCAAAUGAUACUGAGAAACCUCUCAGGGGCCUGGAUUUGGUGUCAGAAAGGAAUCUUUGCCCACACCAGAUUAGCAAGGACCACUGGGAUUUUUGCCUUCCUCCUAUAAUGUAAUAUGUGGUCUACUCUCUGGGGUCAUCUGAGCAUAUUUUACCUAACAUAUUCCCCGCCUUUUUAGUGACCUAAGCAUUUAAGUGGCCCCUUUGUCUGUCCUGCUUUCUUUCUGUGGCACAAUGCAACUUUUUUUUUUAAUCAGUAAUUCUGUCUGUCUUGUGUGUAUUGGGAGAAAUGGAGGUGACAGAGUGGGCAUCUCCUUGAACACAUGAUCGCCUGUAAAUACAGGGAACUGGACUCAGUGACUUGGGAAGUUUCUUCUGUUUCAGCUUCCCUAUUGUUUUACAGUCAGUGCAGAGCUCACCAUUUCCCACUCUAAGUGCAAUAAUCACUUCUUUGUUGUGUCACUCCCUUCUGUAAUGUAAAUACAUAGCUGUGUAUAUUAAUAAAUAUACUGUACUCAAACAGGACGGUUGGCUACAUGCUUUUCUCUCCCUGGGGAAGGAGGAGAGAGAACAAAUGUGACAGAUGUUAAUCUCAGUUCACUGGCCUGAGGAGUAGCCUAUCUGAACUUUGCUCUCACGUGGAGGUUUUAUGAUUUGUCUGGCAGAGUAAGUCAAUAAGAGUCAGUUUCUGAAAAUUCUCUGUUUUUCGGGGUUUUUGUUUGUUUAUUUUUAAAGUGAAACAGAUGGCCAGGCCUCAGGCAGCGGUGAUUCAGGGGACUGGAUUUUUACAAUUAGAGAAAAGGAUCCUAAGAGUCUGGAGAAUGGAGCAGCCCAGCCACAAGAGCUAGAAAAAAAUAAGGAAAAAAAUAUUCCAAAGCGGCCUUUGUCUCAGUGCUUAUCUACAAUUAUAUCUCCUUUAUUUAAAGAGUUGAAAGAGAAAAGUCAGGCAUGUGGUGGCAACAUGGGAUCCAUAGAAAAACUGAGAGAAGCUAUUUAUUUAGCUGAGGAAGCUUGUCCAGGCAUUUCAGAUACGAUGGUAUCACAACUUGUACGGCGGCUUCAGAGGUACUCACUAACUGGAGGAAGCAGUUCAUCCCACUGAAAUUUGGGGUUUUUUGAGUUUUUCUAAGACAACAGUGACCCUGUCAUGUCUGCAUUGAAGAAGUGCUCUCUAAUUUUGACCUACCCAAGUUAGUGGAGUGUUCUUCAGUGAAUGGACCUUCUUGAAUGUGCAACAACAAAAAGUCUCUCAGAUAGAUAGUGUUGCUUUUCAGCUCCUUAAAGCUAUAGUUUUUUAAUUAUAUAAUGCACAUACUCCAGGGAGGUCUUUUUUUUUUGUAAAAUCUGAAAUGUAUAUUAAGGUUUGUGAUAAGGAAACUGAAGAUAUUGAGAAAUCUCAGGUAUCUUGCUUUAAGUGAACUCCUCUGGGAGAUAGAAAAAUGCUCUGUUGGAUUUGUGUACAGAUUUGUAUAUAGUGUUGCUUUUUUACUGAAACCCUUUCAACGUGCAUAAGGAAUCACUGUGUACAAAAUGGCCAAAUGCUUCUGUAGAUAAUGCUAGUGGGGUAAAUAUUUGACAGGCCAUAACUGAUUAUCGCCUUGCCUUUAUUACAUGUACAUUUUGAAUUAUGUGAUAAGUGAUUUUGGUUGAUUUUGUAUUUUGAAGGAUUUGCCAUUGAAAGAUCAUUAAUGCCGUAUUAUGAAAUCUUCUAUCUGUACCUCAGCAGAUGCAAAAUUUCUUCCUGUCUGUCCUAACAAGUCUAAAGGUGAUGUCCUGACUAUGGUACUACUUUAGAUUGUUUUAAAUUUAGCACCUCUUUUCUCAUGAAGCUUUAAAUUAUUGUUUUUAUUUUUCCUACAGGAUGAAUGCUUUUAUAUUUUCAGUUUUAAAUUGUGCCAAUGCAAAUUGAACCAUAUGUAUUGUUCAACUUUAGUAUAUACUUGUGGAGCUUGUAGUGGAAUCUAAAUACCAUAUUUUCCAUCGCAGUAUGUUUGAAUGCUCACACAAAUAAAUUUUAUAACCUGCAUUUA